GACAGAGGGGGCAAGCGUUGCUCGGAAUUACUGGGCGUAAAGGGCGCGUAGGCGGGAUGGCAAGUCGGUCGUGAAAUCCCUCGGCUCAACUGAGGAUCGUCGAUCGAUACUGCCGUUCUUGAGGAUUGCAGAGGAGACUGGAAUUCCCGGUGUAGCGGUGAAAUGUGUAGAGAUCGGGAAGAACACCGGUGGCGAAGGCGGGUCUCUGGGCAAUUCCUGACGCUGAGGCGCGAAAGCGUGGGGAGCAAACGGG
rnacentral:rRNA from 1 species